UCUAAUAUGGCAGAUUAGUGCAAUGAAUUUAAGAUUCAUAUAUAAAAUAUUUUUUUUUAUUAGAA
rnacentral:tRNA from 1 species